GGCCUGAUGGUCUAGUAGUAUGAUUCGCCCUUCGGAUGGGCGAGGUCCCGGGUUCAACUCCCGGUUAGGCCC
rnacentral:tRNA from 1 species